UAAGUGCUAUUUGUUGGCGUAG
rnacentral:miRNA from 1 species